rnacentral:rRNA from 1 species
GACGAACGCUGGCGGCGUGCUUAACACAUGCAAGUCGAACGGAAAGGCCCUGCUUUUGUGGGGUGCUCGAGUGGCGAACGGGUGAGUAACACGUGAGUAACCUGCCCUUGACUUUGGGAUAACUUCAGGAAACUGGGGCUAAUACCGGAUAGGAGCUCCUGCUGCAUGGUGGGGGUUGGAAAGUUUCGGCGGUUGGGGAUGGACUCGCGGCUUAUCAGCUUGUUGGUGGGGUAGUGGCUUACCAAGGCUUUGACGGGUAGCCGGCCUGAGAGGGUGACCGGCAACAUUGGGCUGAGAUACGGCCCAGACUCCUACGGGAGGCAGCAGUGGGGAAUAUUGCACAAUGGGCGGAAGCCUGAUGCAGCAACGCCGCGUGCGGGAUGACGGCCUUCGGGUUGUAAACCGCUUUCGCCUGUGACGAAGCGUGAGUGACGGUAAUGGGUAAAGAAGCACCGGCUAACUACGUG